GAUGAACGCUGGCGGCGUGCCUAAUACAUGCAAGUCGAGCGAACGGACGAGAAGCUUGCUUCUCUGAUGUUAGCGGCGGACGGGUGAGUAACACGUGGAUAACCUACCUAUAAGACUGGGAUAACUUCGGGAAACCGGAGCUAAUACCGGAUAAUAUUUUGAACCGCAUGGUUCAAAAGUGAAAGACGGUCUUGCUGUCACUUAUAGAUGGAUCCGCGAUGCAUUAGCUAGUUGGUAAGGUAACGGCUUACCAAGGCAACGAUGCAUAGCCGACCUGAGAGGGUGAUCGGCCACACUGGAACUGAGACACGGACCAGACUCCUACGGGAGGCAGCAGUAGGGAAUCUUCCACGAUGGGCGAAAGCCUGACGGAGCAACGCCGCGUGAGUGAUGAAGGUCUUCGGAUCGUAAAACUCUGUUAUUAGGGAAGAACAUAUGUGUAAGUAACUGUGCACAUCUUGACGGUACCUAAUCAGAAAGCCACGGCUAACUACGUG
rnacentral:rRNA from 1 species